UACGAAGGGGGCUAGCGUUGCUCGGAAUCACUGGGCGUAAAGGGUGCGUAGGCGGUUCGUUAAGUCUGCUGUGAAAGCCCUGGGCUCAACCUGGGAACUGCAGUGGAUACUGGCGGACUAGAGUGUGAUAGAGGAUGGUGGAAUUCCCGGUGUAGCGGUGAAAUGCGUAGAGAUCGGGAGGAACACCAGUGGCGAAGGCGGCCCCCUGGGCCGCGCCUGACGCUGAGACGCGAAAGCGCGGGGAGCGAACGGG
rnacentral:rRNA from 1 species